AAUCAACGCUGGCGGCGUGCCUCAGACAUGCAAGUCGAACGAUUAAACUUUCCUUCGGGAAAGAUAUAAAGUGGCGCACGGGUGAGUAACACGUAAGUAAUCUACCUUUGAGUGGGGAAUAACGUCGGGAAACCGACGCUAAUACCGCAUAAUGCAGCGGCACCGCAAGGUGACAGUUGUUAAAGGAGCAAUCCGCUUAA
rnacentral:rRNA from 1 species